rnacentral:rRNA from 1 species
CUCGUAGGUGGCCAACUAAGUCAGACGUGAAAUCCCUCGGCUUAACCGGGGAACUGCGUCUGAUACUGGAUGGCUUGAGUUCGGGAGAGGGAUGCGGAAUUCCAGGUGUAGCGGUGAAAUGCGUAGAUAUCUGGAGGAACACCGGUGGCGAAGGCGGCAUCCUGGACCAACACUGACGCUGAGGAGCGAAAGCCAGGGGAGCAAACG